AAAAUAUAAAUAAAUUAUUAAUUGUGGAAUUGAUGGGUUCAUUAGAAGCUCAUGAAAAAAUAUUAGAAACACGUUAUGAAAUUGACAUAGAGAACGCUUUUCAAUCUAAAGUUUAUAUGCGGUUUCAUAAAAUCUAAAAAAAGGUGGAAGAAAAUUCUAAAAACAAAGGAACUCAAGGAAAAGAAAUUGAUAAUAAUGGAAAGUAUCCUUCAUGUGGCGUUUGUAUAAAAUUAAAAUAAAAAGGUCAUUUGCAUAAUGAUUGUUGGUUUAAAGGAAAAUCACAUUGCCAUAAUUGUAAACAAAUUGGACAUGAAAAAUUCUGUCACUUUAAACAAAACUAUCAAGCUAGUUUAUCUGAAGAAAAUGAUAUAGAAGGAAGUCUAUUUCAUGCCUCCAAUAAGGAUACAUCUAAAGAAAACUAGAUGCAUAGUAUCUAGAUAGUGGUCGUAGUAAUCAUUAAGGCAAAAAUAAAAAUUGACAAUGAUGAUUUUAUGAAGCCAACAGGCAAAUAAAGUGCUAUUGCCAUUGAUACAGAAAAGGGUAAGAGAUAUAUCAACAAAGUUCUCUUGAUCCCUAAAAUAGAUCAAAACUUAUUAAGUGUAUGUCACAUGAUGAGAAAUGAUACAUUUUACAUUUCAAAGGAGAUUCUUGCAUAAUUUAUGACGAAAAAGAUAAAUCCUUAGUAAUUGCAAAAAUUAAAAAGCGGUAGAAUAAAUGUUUUCCAAUUCAAUGGAGAUACGCAAACAAUACGGCAAUGACGACGCAAGUGGACGAUUCGUGAUUGUGGUAUAGGAGAUUUGGACACUUUCACUUUCACGAGUUGAAGAUCCUAUAACAAAAAAAAUGAUGAGAGAUCUACUAGUCAUAAAUGAGAUUAAAGAAGUUUGUGAAGGAUGUUUGCUUGAGAAAAAUCGUUAACCAUUUUUUCUAAAAUAUCUUGGAAAGCCAAAAAGUCGUUGGAGCUGAUACAUAUAGAUGUACGGGGUCCGACGCGUACUUCAUCACAUGACCAAAACAAGUACAAUUUCAUCAUAGAUGAUUACACUAGAAUGACAUCACUAUAUUUUUUACUCGAGAAAUCCGUGUUUGAGAUUUUCAAAAAAUUUAAAGGCUAUGUUGAAAAGCAAAGUGAUUGAAAUAUCACGACUAUUAGAAGUGAUAGUGAUAAGGACAUCCAGUCUUUUAUUUAUUUCUAAUUGGACUUUAUUUUGUUUUGGAUUCUUAUUUAUGUAAUUGGGCUUAUAUUGGCGCAAGCCCAUUCUAGUUAGGGUUUUGGUUUUUACUAUUUAAACCUACUUUGCUAUAUAAUUUCAUUAGUUGAUAAAUGAAUAAAUUAUUUUGGUGGCUCGUGGCAACUUUCUUUUCUCCAUCUGUACUUCUAUUGAUUCUUCUUCUACCCCUCUUCUCUCCUCAAUUCCCUCUUCCCAAUAGAUCCGUUCUUACUUUCAAUUAAUUGUUCGAGUUGGUCCUGCAUAAGAUAAAGGCAAACAAUACAUAUCAAAAAAAUGCAACAAGUUCUGUGAAGAUGAAAGAAUGGAGCAUCAACUCAACGUUGGAUAUGCACCAGAACAAAACGGCGUUUCAGAAAGAAAGAAUAGAACAUAAUGGAGAUGGCGAAAGCUAUGCUCAUGGAGAAAAGUCUUUCGAAAACAUUAUGGCAGAAGUAGUAAACAAUACAGUCUACUUAUUAAAUCGACAUUCGACUAAAGUUAUGCAAGAUAAAAUACUUGUAAAAGCAUGGAGUGGACGAAAACUAUCAGCAAAGCAUCUCAGCUUUUUUGGUUGCAUCUACCACACGCAUUCUACAAGAAAAAAGAGGCAUAUUAGAUGAAAAGAUGGAUAAAGGAAUUUUCUUAGGCUAUAGUACUCAAACUAAAGGCUAUCGAGUUUAUAACUUGAGAACAAAGAAACUAAUUAGAAGUCGAGAUUUUAAGUUUGAUGAAGAUGUCACCUACAAUUAGGGGACUGGCCAAGUCGAAAGAAAUGUUUUCAGCAUCCUAUCACAACUAGAAAAAUCCAAGGGUGACAUCGAGGAUAACAACAAAUCAGAAUCACCACAGCAAGCAACGAUAGAAGAACCAGUCGACUCACAAAAAAUUGUCACCAAGAAAAACAUAAGAGCUUAUCAAAAAUAUAUCAAACAUGCAAUAUGAUGAUCUUAGACCCUGAAAGCUAUGAACCAGCUUGAAACAACCAAAAUGGAUAAAAGCUGUGAACAAAGAAAUAAAAAUGAUUGAGAAAAUUAACACUUGGGAGCUUGGAGAUCUUCCUCAACAUAAAAAAGUCAUAGGAGUCAAUUGGAUCUACAAGACAAAGCUUAAGAUUGACGACGCAAUCCAAAAACACGAAGUAAGACUAGUCACUAAAAGAUACUCAUAGUAGUUUGGUAUCGACUACACUCAUACAUUUGCUACAGUUGCACUUCUUGACAUUAUAAGGGCGUUAAUUGCACUAGCCGCACAAAAGAAUUGAAAGAUUUACCAACUAGACGUUAAGUGAACAUUUUUCAAUGGUUUUCUUAAAGAAAAAUUUUAUGUAGAGCAACCUCAAGGGUUUAUGGUACAAGGUCCAGAAGAUAAAGUACUUAGAAUUAAAGAAAGCACUAUGCGAUUUAAGCAAGCUCCUAGAGUUUGGUACAACGGAAUAGAUAGCUACUUUACAGUGCAAAAAUUCAGGAAGAGUCAAAAUAAAUCAAAUCUAUACAUUAAAAAUCAAGGUACAAAUAGUAUACUCAUAAUCUCUCUAUAUGUUAGUGAUUUCAUCUAUAUAGGGAACGAUGAGAAGAUGAUCAAGAAAUUUAAGGAAGACAUGAUAAAAUCAUUUAAGAUGUCUGAUUUCGGAUUGAUGUACUACUUUCUUGGAAUCGAUAUAACCCAAUUUGAAGUUGAAAUCUUUAUUGCUCAGAAGAACUAUACUACUAGUCAUCUUGAAGUUCAAGAUGAAAGAUUGCAAAAAUAUAGCAACACCCCUGAAUAAAUCCAUUUCUAGAAUUUCCUAGAAUUUCUUGGGACCCAAGCAAAAACAAUAAAUAAAAAGUAGAAAAUAAGAAUUCUCUAGAAAUAGUUCCACCGCCUUUCACUUUCUAUAAAUAGGGGUUGCCACCUUCAAAUGUUGUGUGCAAUUGCUAUUCAAAAGCUUCCCAUUGUAAAAGUCCAGUUUGUAAAACUUUAAUAAAUUACUUUCUCCCCCUUCAACUAUCUUAUUCAUUAAAAUUUUUCCCACUAUUUCUAUCCAUAAAAAAUCUAUCCCCACAUAAAAUCCACUUAACCACUUUUAUCUAAAUUAAUUUAUUUUUUCUACUUUCUAUAAAAACUAUCAAUAUUUGCUAAUUGCUAUUGAAUAAUGUAUGGUUUAACAAAACUUAAUUUUCUGAUAAGUUGAUCAUAGCCACUUCAUCUGCCCAGAUAUCUGUACGAAAAUAACCUUGUUUAAAAUGUACAUUCAAUUUGUUAAACCUUUAAGAAAUUUUAUUUUGGAAAAUUGGUUGGGAUGAUUCUUGUGGCACUUNNNNNNNNNNNNNNNNNNNNNNNNNNNNNNNNNNNNNNNNNNNNNNNNNNNNNNNNNNNNNNNNNNNNNNNNNNNNNNNNNNNNNNNNNNNNNNNNNNNNNNNNNNNNNNNNNNNNNNNNNNNNNNNNNNNNNNNNNNNNNNNNNNNNNNNNNNNNNNNNNNNNNNNNNNNNNNNNNNNNNNNNNNNNNNNNNNNNNNNNNNNNNNNNNNNUUGUUUAAAAUGUACAUUCAAUUUGUUAAACCUUUAAGAAAUUUUAUUUUGGAAAAUUGGUUGGGAUGAUUCUUGUGGCACUUGUUUUAGAUUGCAAAGUAUGUAUAUUCUAUCAAAGUAACAUUCAUAGCAUGAGUUGGUGAUAUGGACUUUGGAGAUCUAUGUUAUUCUUUCUGUCACAACCAUGGGACAGGUACCUAAAUUAAGCAGAAAAUCUCUCAAGUUAUUGAAUGUUCAAACAAUUGGUUCUUUAAUGAUUUUUUUCAAAAUCAUCACUAUAGCAAGCUACAGUUUUGAUUUGUUUGUUUUGGAUCGUCAAUGCUUCUAUGGUCGUUAUUCUCACUAGUCACUAGUUAUGCUAUAUUAAUUUAUGUAUAGGAAACUAUACAACUAAUGAAAGGAUACGAGUCCCUCCAAUGGGAAUCUACAGGUGACAGUUGCUCUAGAUUGACUAUAGUUUUUAUAUACACCUUCUCUUUUGAAUGAUUAGCAUCUGUUUUUCCCACAGCUUCUUGAUAACUCAACCCUCGCCACCUACCCCACAGGCUCUUCCAUUUAUUACCUCUGUGUUUACUUUGUUUAACAAGGAAAUCUGGUAGGGUGUUGCUUGUUUUGUGA
rnacentral:lncRNA from 1 species